GUGCUCACUUUGGCAGCACAUAUACUAAAAUUGGAACAAUACAGAGAAGAUUAGCAAGGCCCCUGAGCAAGGAUGACAUGCAAAUUCGUGAAGUGCAUCAUAUUUUA
rnacentral:snRNA from 1 species